rnacentral:rRNA from 1 species
AUUGAACGCUGGCGGCAGGCCUAACACGUGCAAGUCGAGCGGAUGAGGAAAGCUUGCUUUUCGAUUCAGCGGCGGACGGGUGAGUAAUGCCUAGGAAUCUGCCUGUUAGUGGGGGAUAACUCGGGGAAACUCGGGCUAAUACCGCAUACGUCCUACGGGAGAAAGUGGGGGAUCUUCGGACCUCACGCUAACAGAUGAGCCUAGGUCGGAUUAGCUAGUAGGUGAGGUAAUGGCUCACCUAGGCGACGAUCCGUAACUGGUCUGAGAGGAUGAUCAGUCACACUGGAACUGAGACACGGUCCCGACUCCUACGGGAGGCAGCAGUGGGGAAUAUUGGACAAUGGGCGAAAGCCUGAUCCAGCCAUGCCGCGUGUGUGAAGAAGGUCUUCGGAUUGUAAAGCACUUUAAGUUGGGAGGAAGGGUAUUCACCUAAUACGUGGGUACUUUGACGUUACCAACAGAAUAAGCACCGGCUAACUCUGUGCCAGCCGCCGCAGUAACAC